rnacentral:ncRNA from 1 species
GGCAGUCCCCACGGGCGCCCGAGCACGGGCUGAGAUCGCGCUGAUUGCUGCGCGAGCACCGUUCGAACCUGUCCGGUUAGUACCGGCGAAGGAAGAGAGGAAUGGUGCAAUGA